CCUACGGGUGGCAGCAGUGAGGAAUAUUGGUCAAUGGGCGGGAGCCUGAACCAGCCAAGUCGCGUGAGGGAAGAAGGUACUGAGUAUUGUAAACUUCUUUUGUCAGGGACGAAGCAAGUGACGGUACCUGACGAAUAAGCCACGGCUAACUACGUGCCAGCAGCCGCGGUAAUACGUAGGUGGCAAGCGUUAUCCGGAUUUACUGGGUGUAAAGGGCGUGUAGGCGGGGAAGCAAGUCAGAUGUGAAAACCACGGGCUCAACCUGUGGACUGCAUUUGAAACUGUUUUACUUGAGUGCUGGAGAGGCAGACGGAAUUCCUAGUGUAGCGGUGAAAUGCGUAGAUAUUAGGAGGAACACCAGUGGCGAAGGCGGUCUGCUGGACAGCAACUGACGCUGAGGCGCGAAAGCGUGGGGAGCAAACAGGAUUAGAUACCCGGGUAGUC
rnacentral:rRNA from 1 species